ACGCUGUAAACGAUGAAUACUAGGUGUGGGAGGACUGACCCCUUCCGUGCCGCAGUUAACACAAUAAGUAUUCCACCUGGGGAGUACGACCGCAAGGUUGAAACUCAAAGGAAUUGACGGGGGCCCGCACAAGCAGUGGAUUAUGUGGUUUAAUUCGACGCAACGCGAAGAACCUUACCAGGAUUUGACAUCCAACUAACGAAGUAGAGAUACAUUAGGUGCCCUUCGGGGAAAGUUGAGACAGGUGGUGCAUGGUUGUCGUCAGCUCGUGUCGUGAGAUGUUGGGUUAAGUCCCGCAACGAGCGCAACCCCUAUUGUUAGUUGCUACGCAAGAGCACUCUAGCGAGACUGCCGUUGACAAAACGGAGGAAGGCGGGGACGACGUCAAAUCAUCAUGCCCCUUAUGUCCUGGGCUACACACGUAAUACAAUGGCCGUUAACAAAGGGAAGCAAUACCGCGAGGUGGAGCAAAUCCCCAAAAACGGUCUCAGUUCGGAUUGCAGGCUGCAACUCGCCUGCAUGAAGCUGGAAUUGCUAGUAAUCGUGGAUCA
rnacentral:rRNA from 1 species